GGAUCAAACAUGAAGCCAGUCAUUUUCGGGGAUGACGUGGCGUCGGGGCUGCGCAGCUGGCAGGAGGCGGCCAAGAAACAGGCAAAAGAAGGGCGGCCUUCAGUCAGCGUCACCCCAUUGUCCAGUUGGCCCACCUCUCCGUUGCGCGGUGGCACGUCGCCUGCCUAUCUGCGGAAUGGCCGCAGAAAGUCGACUGAGGAGUUGGGUGGUGGCAGGGAGAGGGCGUAUGCCUCUCCCAACCACCACGGUUAUCGUGAGAAAAAAGAUCGACGGUCGGAAACUUCAGUUAUUGAGAUAGAAACGGAUAUUGGAAAUCCUUCCUCACAAGACGCUGGCUUUAUUUCUAGUGAUUUCUCCUUUGUGAAAAAUGAUUCUUCCAAAUCUCCCAAGUAGAGCAGUCAUGCAUUUGUUUAUUUCUAUCUUUUGUUAGUUUAAUUGUUGAAAAUAAAUUACCAUUUUUUUUCAACAUAUACUGUAUUAAUGUAAACUCCAUCGUUUUUUUAGUGUAAUCUAUGAUACUCCCAACAACAUUAAUCACUUGCCAAUUCCUCAAUUCUUGGAAUAAUAUAUAACUAUGAGCAAUUCUAAUUCUCUUUCAAGAGAGAUCAUUGAGUUAUGGAAUAUCCUAAUCAACAUAUGCAAAAAACACUUCCAUAUAUAUAUAUAUAUAUAUAUAUAUAUAUAUANUAUAUAUAUAUAGGGGAGAAGAUCCAUAGAGAAAGCUAAGUAAUUUGAGAAUAAAGAAUUAAUAACCACCCUUAGAUAUAGUAGAUCGGAUGGUUUAGGUAAUUUGCGUUAAUUAAUUUAGAAAUAAUAGUAAAGGUUAAGUUGGUAAUUUCUUUUUAAUUUUAACCGUCCUUACCUUAUUAAUAGUUGACCAAAUCUUGUUAAUUUUGGUAGAUUAAAUUCAUAUCUCUAUUUCGGUGGGUUUUUUUUUCUUUUUUAAUUUCGAAGAUUAUAUAUUUGAAAGAUAUGUUUCAUAUCAAUAUUUACAUAAUAUAAUAUUUUUUUUCAUUAAACUACUUCACUUUUAAAAUUUGAAUUAACUAAUAUUAAAUGAAAAUAAAUUUCAAAUUAAAUGUAAAUAAAUAAAAUUUAAAAAUUUUAUUUUAGAUGUUAGUAAUUUUUUAAACUUGUUCGAAACAUUUUUUUAUAAAAUACUUUAACAUUUCAGCAAGUAAAAUUCAAAAUUUAUUUAGAUGUUCGUAACUUUUUUAAGCUUGUUCGAAAUGUUUUUAUAAAAUAUUUUACCAUUUCAGCAAAUAAAAUUCAAUAAUUUUAUUUAGAUGUUAAAUAUUUUUAUGAUUCUCAAUCAAAUAUCAAUUAUAAUAAUCAUUCUAAUAUUUUAUUUGAAUGUCGUAAGUUAUUAAGCUUAUACGAAAAAAUUUGAAGUUAAAUAUUUUUAUGAUUCUCAAUCAAAUAUCAAUUAUAUUAUUCAUUCGAAUAAUUUAUUUGGAUGUUCGAAAGUUUAUUAAGCUUAUUCGAAAAUUUUUGAUGUUAAAUAUUUUUAUGAUUCUCAAUCAAAUAUCAAUUAUAUUAUUCAUUCUAAUAUUUUAUUUGGAUGUUCGAAAGUUUAAAUGAACAAAAUACAAGGAAAGCAUAUGGACUCAAACUACAUGAACUACAAAACCAAUAAAUUUGCAUAACAAUUUGCGGUGAACUACAAGGAAAUGCAUAAAUCUGCGGUGGUGAAACUAGAGAAGAUAUAACAAUUCUAAUGCAACCGUCUAACUAAGAAGAUCCGAAAAGUUGGAAGACCUCAUACUAAACUGAAGUCAGUUUGCACAAAAUCAACCGGCGACGGAGCGGCUUGCCAUGGCAGGCAGCGUCAGCUCUCAAUCCUCGGCUGAGGGAGUACCAGCGGCGGCCCGGACGAAUAAUUGUGCGACGGGCGGCGCUGAGGCGAAAGGGCGGCGGCGGUGCUUUAUGGUCAGCCACCGUCUGGCCCAAGGAAAGACGAAGGUAGGAGAGGCGGCUGCUUCAGAUGGCGUGAGUGUAGAGAUGAGGGGGUGGUGGUGGUCGCCGGCGAGGUGACGUUGGGAAACGACUGGUCGUGGCGGUGCGGCGAGAGAGGAAGAUAUGAUGGAACCAAAAAUGAAAUUGUUGCUAUGAAAUCGAAGAUGUGAGAUGGAGGAAGCGACUGGUCGUGGCUUUCUAAUGAAAUUGAAGAUAUGGGAAUGGAGGUGGAAGCGUGAAACUCGGAUAGUGGAAGAUAUGGAAUUGUGUAAAAUUCCUAAUUACACCCUCUAGACCGUAAAAUUUGAGAGCAUUUAUUUUUUCACGCAUUUUUGUUGUUCUUUUUUUAAUUAUUCGAGAAUCUUGUAGCCGUCAGAUUUACUAGAUCUAACGCUAGAGAGUAAUUCUCUAUUCUCUACUAAUGUGGAAUUCUCUAUGGAUCCCUAUAUAUAGAGAGAGAGGAGAGAAGAGAAGAGAAGAGAAUAAAAGAGAAGAGAGAGAGGAGGGCCCCAUAGAGGAUACAAUUGUCUUUUCAUGUCAAAUUGGCUAUUUUUGUUAUAGUUUUAUACUUGUGGCUUUAUAUGUUAUACUAUUUAUUUUAUACGGCCCUAACCUUAUGGCCUUCGCUUCAGCUUUCCGUCGCAUUUUUAACGGAUCAUCCACGCCGUCGCUCAAUAUACGCUCGCAGUUCUGUUCGAUUCGCUUCAGUUCCACGCUUCCGACGCUCACCUCUCCUAAGCUCUUCAUCAUCGGUAUGCCUCUUCAUUUUCUUUUAAUUGUAAUACGCGUUUUUCAGUUCUAUCACUGCUGUUUCGUUUGAUUCUAUUUUGUUUCUCAAUUCAUGUCAAAUCUUCGUGUCACACCAUAAUUCUUGAAUGAAUAAAUAUAAUCAAGGUACAACUAAUUCAUAGAAAUAAACAAGGAACAACCUUGUUAAAACCCAAAUAAUAAGAAACUCGGGCUAGGCCCCUUUGGAUCACAAGUUUUGCUUCAUGCUUCUGACAACCGACAUUCAUUAGCAUAAAUUUAGUAGUGAAGAGUCUAAGUUCGGUCAGGUAUAUCAUUUGACAUUUAACAUGAAGAUCUUAAGUUGGGAAAACAAAAGACGGAUAUGAGCAAUUGCUACAGCGGAAGUCUAACAUAGGAAAUUAACCAUAGCCUCAGCUCCGUCCCGUCAGCACCAUCCAGCCAACCUGAAAACAUUUGAAAGUAAUUUUGGGCUAAGUACUAAUGUACUUAGUGAGCAUGCAUUUUCUGAAACAUUUCAUAUUUUCAUAAAGACAGUUUAUCCAAUUAUACUUGACAUGACUUAGAAGGUUUUAAAUUGAAAGAACUUCUAAGCAUGUUAAAACAUUUCUUUCAUUUGUGCGCACAUGUCACACUCCCUUUUCUGUUACUCGCUGUGAUCCCGGACCUUUUAGCCACCGACGGAUCCAUUUCUCCCAUUGCACUUGCCCUGAGGACGUAACUCAGAUAAGUUGAAUUGACCUCGGGACGCUACCCAGGCAGGCCUUACAUUACAUGCUUCGGAACACAUCCAGCAAGCACCCUUAUAACGCCUCUUAGUUAGUGCCCGAUGGAGAUCAACCCACCAGGUCAGCUAACGAGUGUACACAAUUCUCAAAUAACGUGUUAGGCCAUAAGAGAACCUCAAUUGAUUCGUUGUGGCGAGCCUUAAACAGAGCAGAGUGCACAUAAACAUUUUAUUGGAUAAACAAUUUGCAUUUUAUUGAAUAAAUAAUUUGCAUUUCAUUGAAACAUUUAGAGCUUAAUAACUCAAUCAUACUUUAUACAUUUGGAAAGUAAGCCCACCUGGUUAGGCAAAGCCUGAAGAUCAUAAUCACAUACACUCAUCUUGAGAAAGCAGCGCUAAUCCCCUUGGUCCUCAAAGCCUACAAAAAUUCUAUUCUUAAUAGGUUUCGUGAAGCUAACUUAAAGUCUUAGUGGGUGCACUUAACUACUAUGAUUCAUCACGCCGAGUUUUCAAAAUUUAAUAGAUAAAUAAUUGAAAACUAAAUUGUUGAGCUAAGGAUACCAACAAUAUCCUUACUCGAUUUUCUUGGGUAAUUGGAUUUAAUGAAAACCAAUUUAAAUCAUGAGUACUUUUAUUUGCAAAAAUGCAUAUGCAAAAUUUAUUUCAAGCUUAAUCAUAUAAUAAGUAAUUACACUUAACAUAUGCACAUAAUAAUAAUGUAUUAUUAUUACGCAAAUUAUUCUUUAAAAUAAUUAAUCAAACUAAUGAUAGUCAAAUUAAUUAAAUUAGUAUAGCCCAAAAAAAUUAAUAGAAGGCAGCCCAAAAUUUAAAUAACUGAAGGCCGAACUAUUAAUUAAAAUUGAGUCCAUGUUAAAAUAAAUAAAAUCAGCCCAAAGUUUUAAAUAAAUAAGGGCCCAGCUAAGAUUUGGAAAUGGCCCAAGCUUUUUAAAAAAAUAGCAGCCCAAUCUAAUUAAGACCCGGCCCAACGCCCAGGCCCAAACCCAGGAGCCCUAACCCUUCUUCUUCACAGAUCACACGCACACACACAUAACCGGAAGUCUCUCUCUCUAUUCUCGCGACACACACAGACACACACAACAGACGCCGCCGGCCUCUCCUCUGGGGAAGGCAGCCUUCGGCCUCACCUCCCUCGACUCCGCGACCGCUGCCUCUCUCUCAGUUUUCACCGAGAAUCCGCCUCUUCUCCCUCAGAAAUCCGCCGCCGCGGAAGAUCGCCGGAGAGACGACGAUAAGCCGCCUCAACCGUCGGCUCUCUCUCUUUCGAUCCCGACUCCCAGCGAAGUGGCAGCGACAAGCCACCAGUCAGCCUCCCAUCUCCCACAAUCCAUAGAAAUACCUAUUAUAUUUCAUAUGUUGAUACUUUUUUGUUUCUCUACAUGCGAAUCGAUUUUCUACUUUCGAAUCGAUGGAUUCUGAACCCUCUAGAUCAGAUUGAGCUGGUGAGUGCUUAGAUCCUCUCCUUCUUGAGCUGAUUGAGCUACUUUCGAAUCGACGGUCGCGCGCCUAUUGAAUCGGUGGUGUCUAGAAUACUCUUUUUAAUUCCUCAAUUCUCAUUCUUACUGAACCAGCUCAACAGAACAGGGGUUUUGCUAGGGUUUAAUAUCUCUUCCCACUCUAACCUUGUACACGGUUUCCCAUUUCUAAGAAAUUCAAAACCUUAUGGCCUUCGCUUCAGCUUUCCGUCGCAUUUUUAACGGAUCAUCCACGCCGUCGCUCAAUAUACGCUCGCAGUUCUGUUCGAUUCGCUUCAGUUCCACGCUUCCGACGCUCACCUCUCCUAAGCUCUUCAUCAGCGGUAUGCCUCUUCAUUUUCUUUUAAUUGUAAUACGCGUUUUUCAGUUCUAUCACUGCUGUUUCGUUUGAUUCUAUUUUGUUUCUCAAUUCGUGUCAAAUCUUCGUCUAAUGUCAAUGGCAAUGGAUUUGUGUAUUUGAAUCGAAGUAUGUUAUAACCUUGCCGAGUGUUAUCCUUCCUAUUUUUGCCAUAUCACAAAUUAUAUGCAAAUACUGGAAAUGUGAUUGCAAUCGCCGAUCACAUAGUGAAUGAAGAUAUUUGAAUACUGAUAAUUGGAGAUCUUCAAAUGGAUGAAGAUAUUUGAAUACUGAUAAUUGGAGACCUUCAAAUGUUAAAGUGAAUAGUAGUUAUAUUUUAUGUACUUAUAUGGAUGCACAAGCGCUUUUAUGUUUGAUCUAUAAAGAUACAUAAUUCCCUCUGUGAGGCUUCCUGAAACUAAGUGAAAUGUACAUAUAUGUGUUACUAUCGACUUCUUCAUGUCCAACACUGCUGUAUUGGUGCAUUUAAUUUAACCAACAUGGCAUAUCUCACUCGUUAUGAUAUGACAUAACCCCCAAUUGUAUCUCUCAUAUGAAUGUGAGAGCAAAACUUAUGCUCCUUCCGUCCUAUUAUAAAUGUCCCAUUAUUUUUGGACACGAAGAUUAAGAAAUGUGUAAUAGGUAGAUAAAGUGGAUUGAUGGAAAUUAUUUAAAUAUUAGGUAUAGAGAGAAUAUGUUGCCAAAAAAGAAUGAGACAUUUGUAAUGGGACGUAGGGAGUAGUAUUUUUUAAUUUUGGAAUGUGUGAAAGAAUGGGAUGUUGAAAGAAAAUGUUUUAGAUCAAUCUUUUUUUAAAAUGACUAAAUUGAAACAGUUUUAUCUCGAUGGAUCCCAGAAGUAAUCUUACCAUGACCUUGUCAGUAGAUAUAACCCAAAAAUGUUGUAUAAAUAGAACUCAAAUUUACUGGUCAGAAUUUGCUCUCACGCCUUUUGGGAUGUGAGUAUUGCAUGAAGGACUAGGACCUAUUGUUUUCUUUUUAGAGUUUAACACAAGUAGCUUUUAGAAUCCCUAAAUCAUAUAGCUUGAAUGAAGUACUUUGAAUGUCAUAGUUGAGACAUUUAAUGUUCUUGUUAUCACCUACUACUAAUGAUUCACCUUUGAAGAACAUAUUUUGAAUACUAACAUACUUGACACAUGAGGUUUUUCAGAAAAAGAAGGUCUUGGUUUCAACAGUUUGUCUCUGAAGAUUAUGUUUACAUUAACCUUCGGUUCUUUAAUUCUCAUGAAACAGGUCUUUCAAGAACGACAAGUGAUGAUAACUUAUACAAGGCAUUUGCACCUUUUGGAAAUCUUCGUGAGGGUAAACAGCUCACACCUUAUUCUUAGGCACACUGCGUGUCUUGGAUAUAAAUUAAUCUUCUAUCCUGUUGAUUUAGUCUUUCAAAUUCUUGUGUUAAUCUUGCAGCAAAAAUUAUCAUUGACAGAGGCUCUGGGAAAUCAAGGGGGUUCGGUUUUGUAACUUAUGAUACUGUGGAAGAAGCUGAGAAGGCAAGGGAGGGAAUGAAUGCCAAGUUCCUUGAUGGUUGGGUAAUUUUUGUCGACCCGGCCAAACCGAGGGAAGCUCCUCAACAACCCCCUCCUCCUCGGCGAGACAUGCAAUCUACUGAAACCGGUUACACUACAAACAGGACGGUUGGAUGGAGUGGCUAUUGACUUCUAUCCAAAUUCUUUGGAAGAUAUUUUGUAAUUGACUGAAAUAUAAUAGCUUUUGGAGAAACUGGACUAUUUAUUGAGACAUUUGGACUGCAGAAUCUGUGGCCAGUCGAAGUGAAUUGUAUACUAGUACAAUAUGCAAUAGUUGGAGAUAUAUUUAUAUCUGCAUCUGGCAAUGGCAUGAUGAAAAAGUCACAGGCUAGUUUGUUACAUUGUUUCUAGAUAUUUGUCCAGUUCCCCCUUCUCUUUAGUUAUUUUUUGUGUUAAUAUAUAUGAGUAGCCUAAAAUAUAAAUAUACAUUUCAAAAAAGCCACAAGUAUAAAAACAUAUCAACUUUAGUUCAUCCCAGCGACGAUCUUUUCUGGUUUCGUCGCCCUCGAUUCCUCCUCUCCCUCAUCCACUUUGUUCUUUUUGAGGUUUAUAUUUCUUCUUCAUGCUCAACUCUUUUCAUUCAAACAAACCUUAUCUUUUGAUGUACUUAUGUUUAUGUUUCUUGAUUGAUCCUUUUGCAGAAUGCAUUUCAGAUUGCUCUCUUUGCUUGGAGUUGGGUGAGUUGUUAGUUUGCUGCAAACUGUUCAAACAAAAGAUUUCCAAUAUUUAUGAUUGUGUUCAUGCUUUUGUUUUUUUUGCAGCUUAAAUUUGGAUAUCCAUCUUGCUACCAUGAGAAUCUUGAGGAUUUGCUCAUACGAAUCGUGAUGGGGUAAUGUGUUUCUUCUGUUUCUGUGUGAAUUUCCCAUUGCCAAAUGUGUGGAAGCUACCUUAAUUUCAUCGAAACAUAUAUACUAAUGCUUUUCUUGUUUUUGUUUUUGUUUUGGCAGUGUUGUGAUACAGGUUCUGUGCAGCUAUGUCACACUUCCUCUCUACGCCUUAGUUACUCAGAUGGGAUCGAACAUGAAGCCAGUCAUUUUCGGGGAUGACGUGGCGUCGGGGCUGCGCAGCUGGCACGAGGCGGCCAAGAAACAGGCAAAAGAAGGGCGGCCUUCAGUCAGCGUCACCCCAUUGUCCAGUUGGCCCACCUCUCCGUUGCGCGGUGGCACGUCGCCUGCCUAUCUGCGGAAUGGCCGCAGAAAGUCGACUGAGGAGUCGGGUGGUGGCAGGGAGAGGGCGUACGCCUCUCCCAACCACCACGGUUAUCGUGACAAAAAAGAUCGACGAUCAGAAACUUCAGUUAUUGAGAUAGAAACGGAUAUUGGAAAUCCUUCCUCACAAGAAGUUGGCUUUAUUUCUAGUGAUUUCUCCUUUGUGAAAAAUGAUUCUUCUAAAUCUCCCAAGUAGAG
rnacentral:lncRNA from 1 species